rnacentral:lncRNA from 1 species
GAUAAGGUUGGAAAGGGCGAGAGAGUCUACAGAGCCGAGCCAAUUUGCAGGUUCUUCUUGAAAGAUAACAUUCAAGAUAUUGGAUCCCUUGCGUCUCAAGUCAUUGUCAAUUUUGACAGCGUCUUCCUCAAUACCUGGUAAUUUUCAAAAUUUUAUUUUCAUCACUUUUGGAAUCUUUAUUAAUACGUUACAAAAUCUUACCAUAUUAAUACGUGAAUUAUAGGGCACAAUUGAAAGAUGUGGUGCUAGAAGGAGGAGAUGCAUUUGGCCGUGCACAUGGUGGCAUGAAACUCUUUGACUAUAUGGGAACUGAUGAGAGAUUCAGCAAGCUCUUUAAUCAGACAGGAUUCACCAUCGCUGUGGUGAAAAAGGCUCUUGAAGUUUACCAAGGCUUCAAAGAUGUGGAUGUGUUGGUUGAUGUUGGAGGAGGAGUUGGCAACACCCUUGGUGUUGUUACUUCAAAGUAUCCCAAUAUUAAGGGUAUCAACUUUGAUUUGACUUGUGCCUUGGUACAAGCACCUACAUACCCUGGUGUGGAACAUGUAGCGGGAGAUAUGUUCGUGGAAGUUCCAAAGGGAGAUGCCAUGAUAUUAAAAGUAAGCUCAUCAGUUUAUGAUUCAUAUUAAUUUCUUGAAACAGUAUAAUAUGUAUACUUGAAUUUUUUACUUACAUAUGGGAGUAACUUUGUUUUAACAGCGUAUACUACAUGAUUGGACCGAUGAAGACUGCAUUAAAAUUCUCAAAAACUGUUGGAAAUCACUACCAGAGAACGGUAAAGUUGUUGUCAUAGAACUAGUCACUCCUGAUGACGCAGAGAAUGGAGAUAUCAACGCGAACAUUGCCUUUGAUAUGGAUAUGUUGAUGUUCACACAAUGUUCUGGUGGAAAAGAGAGAUCACGAGCGGAGUUUGAAGCUCUGGCUGUAGCUUCUGGCUUCACCAAUUGCAAAUUCGUUUGCCAGGCUUAUCACUGCUGGAUCAUUGAGUUUUGUAAAGAAAAUGUGUAAAAUACAAAACUAAAACGUUUCAUCUUCGUUUUCAGUUCUUUGUUUGUGAUGAUCAUACUUUGUAUGUAUGUGUGUUCGAGCAAUAUGAAAGAAAAAUAAGUUUUUUUGUUUAUUUGUUCAUUGUACUUUUCAUAUCGACACAAGGCUACCUAUCUAAUGGACCUUUUAUUGCAAAAAAAAACUUGAGAGAAAUUUUUUUGCUUAAAAUUAGUUUGCAUCUAAUAGAAAUUUACAGACGGGAUUUAUAUAUAUAUAUAUAUAUAUAUAUAUAUAUAUAUUAUAUGUAUAGAUAUGAAAGGCAACCAUUACAUACCUUGUUCGUAUAUAUGGUUUUGGAGAAAAAUGAGAAAUAGAAUUAACUUUGUUGUUAUGGCAUAAAUUGAGUUUUUUCACAAAAAUCGGUAAUCUUCAUAUCCGUGAAACAAAUUCCAUUAAUUUUUAAUAAAAGUUAGUAAAGAUUUAUUAAAGAAAACAAUGACAAAAUACAUCAUUUGAAACAUUUUGAGAUAUAUAUUUUAAACAUGACAGUUUAUGGCUGAUUUAUUUUUUUUCUUUUAAAAACUAAUUAAAUAAAUAUAUUUAAAUACUAUUAUUUUUAGUUUACAAUUUUUUUAUUUUUUUAUCCCAAAUAAAAAUAUCUAAAAGAUGGAUAUUCUAACAACUUAUUGCAUCACCUACUACCUUACAGGCAUCAACCACGCGAAAACCAUGUCGAAAUCGCUUGGGCACCUACCAACUUGAUUUGUAAGAAAUUUUGUUUCGUUAUGCUCGUUGGUUGGUUGGUUUAAUUAACCAACUAGAUUUUGAUCCGAGAUGUUUUCAUUUUGUAAUAUAAUAAUAUUUAUAAAAAAAAUUAUUGGCAGUUUUUAAUAUUUGAACAUGUGUUAACUAUUCAUAUUUGUGUUUGGAUGUACAUCACUAUUAAAAAUAAUUGUUAUAUAUUAUUUUCAUUUGAUUAUGUGUUACUACGUGGACUAAUUUUCUAUUGCACCUUUUCAUAUAUUUGUACAUUUGAAUUUGGGUAAUUCUUUAAAUAGCAUUUUUAAAAAUUUUAUCAAAAAUAGUUUUUAAUAAUGAAAAUGACCAAAAUAUUCUCUUUUUAUUUUGAAACUUUUACUAUUUAUUUUUUAAAUUUAAAACCAUAUUCUCAAAACCUCACUUCUUAACUCUAAACUUUAAAUCUAGAUUAGUUAACUCUAGGUAUAAAUGUAUUUUUAUUCUUUAAUAAAUUUUUUUUGUCAUUUUUCUCAUUGGUAACUAUUUUUGUGACAAAAACUAAAAAAUAGCAAUCCUAGAGACUUUCUCUCUAUAUUUAUAUGCUUAUUUAUUCAAAAAUUUGUUUUAUAGCUAAAUAAUAUGAUAUAUGUUUCAAAUAUAUACAAUAGAACCUCUAUAAAUUAAUACUCGAUAAAUUAAUAAUCUCUAUAAAUUAAUAAAUUUUGUCGGUCCCAACUUGAGCCGGUGUAAAAUAUGACACAAAUCGAUAAAAUAAUAAGAUAAUAAUAUUUUUAAAACUUCCAUGUAAAUAUAUAGUCCCAUUAAAAUCAUAAAUUAAUAAUCUAUAUCUAUAUAUAUUUUAUAUAAGUAUAAACUAAACAUUAUAUUGUUGGUUUUAUAUUCACAAUAAAAUUACUUCAAUUUUUCUUCAUAUUUUAAUAUAUUUGAUAAUAUUUAGUAAACUUAUUUCGAAAACAACAUAAUAAUUAUAUUAAAAAUAUACACCAAAUAAGAUAAUAAAAUAAUAUGAAAUUCAAAUUUCUAAAAUUUAAAUAAUUUACAUAUGGUAAAAUAAAAUAUUUUCUUGUUUUAUUAAUAAAAUAUUCAAAAAUAGAAAAAAAUCUAAAAAAAAAACUUUUGUAAAUUAAUAAAAUUUUAAAGUCCCAACAUUAUUAAUUUAUAGAAGUUCUACUGUAUUAUGUAAUGCUUUGGCCACCUAGUCAUACCAUUUAUGUGGAUUAAUUGUGUAUAUGGAUGCAAGACCUUGUAAUAUUAGUCUUUGGGUUACGCAUGGACAUUCGGAUCCUCAGAUCAGGUUCGGAUCGGGUCUUGUCGGAUCCGGAUAAUUUGGGUCCUGAAAAUUUGGAUCGAUAUAGGUAAAUAUAAUUUCCGGGUCGGUUCCGGGUAGGUUCUUAUCGAGUUUGGGUCGGUUUAGAUCUAUAAUUUCAAUACCCAUAAAAUAUUUGUAAUUAUCGAAUAUAUUUUGGAUUUGGAUUGGUUUGUAUAUUUAAGAUUCGAAAAAGACCCAAAAUAUUUGAAUUAGACCCGAAAACUCUAAAAUUACUAGAAGAACCGCAAAAUUAGUCAAAAUUGCCCAAAAUCAGACCAAAACACCCAAAAGAUACCCUAAUACCCAAAUUAUAUUUUCUGAAAAUCUUAAUUUUUACUCGAAACCUAAAAUUAUAUCCGAAAACCUAAACCCGAAACUUAAAAAAUAUCUGAAAUACUAAAAUAUACCCAAAUAUACCUAAUAUAUACAAUACCCGAUCGGGUCUGGAUAGGACCCGGACUCAAAUCGAGAUCCGCAGAUCCAAAGAAAAAUGAUCCAAUAGGUACUUUAGUAUGACCCCAGACCCGGAUACGAAUUUGUAUUUUUGGAUACUUGUAUUUUCGGAUCGGUUCUGGUUUGGGUCUUCGAAUCCAGAUAAAAUGUCUAUACCUACUAUGGGUCUACAAAGUUUUUGGAAUCUCAAUGGUUAUUAAAAAAAAUAUAUGAUGCAAUUUGGUAUGUAUACCAAAUAUAGGAUCAAAUAUCUAUGUCGACGUUGUUGGCUCCGGAAAUGUUUAUUUUGUGCUCGGUUUUGGUUUCUGAAAGAGUUCGUCGUUGUAAAGAUCGGUUUCACUGGUAAACAUACUAUAAAAAAAAGCCGGUCGUGAGAUGCACGCGCCCCUCUAGCGGCGAUUCUGAAGCGAUUCAGGGUUCUCUUCCUUGCGCUGCCGGUGACGGUGCCUUACGCUCGUCACUGAGAAUUUCCCCCCCCCCCUCCCCUCUGUUCUUCAUGGCUCAGGCUGGCGCUGUCUCUUUGGUCCCUCCUUGGCCACCCGAUGUUUGUGUUCAGAUCCGGGAUCCACGUCCGGUUAGUCUCUGGUCUGAGGUCUCUCCUGCUUCGGUCCUCUUCCCGGAGGUUGCGCCCGCUCAAGCGGAGGUUGCGAUUCCUCUGGCUGAGGAAGUCUCCCCGGUCAUCAUCGGCGCUUCUUCUGCUCCGGCAACUCAAGCUUUUGGCCCUUCCAUUUCGCCUUCUUCGGCCUUGUGGGUUUCAAAGCUUAAGUCUUCGGCUCAUAAUUUAAAGAAGCUAGGUUCGCCUUCAUUUGCUCAGGACGGUACUCCAAUUGUUCAAGCUCCUGAUUCAGUUGUCUUCCACUCUUCAAACCUAUGGAAAGGUUACUUGGUUGCUCAGUUUCAUGGAGACCCGCCAUCUCCAGCAAAGAUUUUCUCUGAUCUUAACCCUAUUUGGGGAAAGAAUGGAAGAAUCAAGGUUAAAUAUCACUCAAAAAGAGUUUGUCUCAUUUUAAUUCCGUGUGAGCUCACAAGACAAUGGGUGCUCGAUGUUGGGUUUUGGCACUCUGGGAAUUGUGCUUUUACUGUCCAGGAGUGGUCUCCAAACCUCAAAAUUACUCCGAUGAAGCUGGAGUAUGCGCCGGUGUGGGUUCGUUUCAGAAACAUUCCCCCGGAAUUAUGGUCGUUGAAAGGUUUUAGCACCAUUGCUUCGGGUGUCGGGUUUCCAGUCCAGUCGGAGUUUCCUACGCUUAGCGAGUACACUAAUGGUACGGUGAAGCUAAGAGUGAUUGUGAAGCUUGAAGCAAAGAGAGCUCCUGCUGUAAGGGUGGUUGAUAAAUUGGGAAAUUCGGUGACUGUUUUUGCAGAGUACCUGAGACUUCCUCAUAAGUGUAAGAUUUGCGCGGAAUUUGGCCACUCUGAGCUCCGCUGCCCUGGAUUCUCUUCUCAGUUAUCUGGAAAGUCGGCUCGUGCUUCUGCAAAAUCUCCUCCGUUACCUGAGGGUUCUUACCAGUCUCCGGUAGUUCCAUCAUCUUCUAAGUCUACACGGUCGAUCGUUAGGUCUUUAAAUAAAAGCAAGGAAGAGACUCAGCCUUUAUCCAAGUCAAAGGAUCUUCAGGAGGAUGCUUCGCCUCCUCAAGGCAAAUUAAUAACGAGAUCCUCUAGUCUUCCAUCUCCUUCGGUUCAUUCAGAAAAGUCUGUGACUUCUGCUGCGGUAAACGGGUGGACCAGAGUGGCUUCAAAAUCGUCCCCUCCAAAGAGUCUGGCAUUCAGUGGAAAGUCUAAGGAAGGGGAUAUCCUUGUUACGUCAUCUCAGUUCGACUCAGAGGAGGUUUUGAUAAGUGAAGCGCAGCAGGUCAUCAGAAAUCGUUUGGCUGCUGCAGAGGCGGAUUUUCCUCCUUUCUCUUCUAAAAAAGACAAGAAGUAUUUCAGAAAAAUUCAGAGGCAAGCGGUCAUGAAAGAGUGUGAGACCGAGGGUGGUGUUCCUGGCUUAGCUCUUGUUGGGGUGGCUUCAGUUUCUGUUAAUUCAGUUCACGGGAGUGUUUCGGUGGGGUUGCCAGUUGGUGGGCAGCCUAUAUCUUCUGUUUGAAGCCUACGUGCUUCGGAAAUAAUUUUUUGUCCUUCAUAAUGAAGUGUUUUUCUUGGAAUAUAAGGGGUCUUAAUGGAGGUGUUAGGAAGUCAAAUGUGCAAAGGUGGAUUCACCAAAACCGGCCAAUGAUUGGCGGCCUUUUGGAAACUCAUGUGAAGCAAGAGUCUUUGGAUAACUUAAUGUCAACCACCUUUCCUGGUUGGAGGUUCGAUUCAAAUCAUAGAAGAAUUGUAGUAAUGUGGAAUCCACGGAUUUCGGUGGUGGUUUAUCUGAAAUCUGAGCAGUUGAUGGUAUGUGGAGUUUUUGAUCCGGCUUCGAGGAUUUCUUUUACGGUUGGUUUUGUUUAUGCUUACAACGAGAGAAGCCAGAGGAUAGCCCUUUGGAGUUCAUUGGUGCAGUUAUCCUUAUCUUCCUCAAUCCGAAACUCUCCUUGGCUAGUGCUAGGGGAUUUUAACCAGGUGUUGAGUACGGAUGAAGCUUACUCACUUUACCCAGUUGACUUGUGUAUUGGAGGUAUGAUAGAUUUUCAAGAUUGUAUUGAUGAUAGUGGAGUCUUUGAUCUGUCCUUUCGUGGCUGCCCAUUUACUUGGACAAACAAGAGCCCAUCAAAUCCCAAAUCAAGGAAGUUAGAUAGGGCUCUUGUAAACGAAGCAUGGAUGGAGGUCUUCCCGAACUCCAACGCUUUGUUUGAUGCCCCAGGAUCAUCUGAUCACUCUCCAUGUCUGAUAACUGUUUCAGAUUCGGCGGAGCAUAGAAAAACUCGUUUCACUUUCUUUUCUUUCUUUGAGACGCAUCCUGAGUAUUUGAAGCGGCUGUCUGAAGCCUGGACCUCUCCUGUUAGUCGGGCAGGACCGAUGUCGACGUUGUAUCUCAAGCUGAGAGCAGCAAAAAAUUGUUGCAAGGCCAUAAAUCAGUCUAGAUUCAGCAACAUUGAGAAGCGUACGAGAGAAGCUUUUGAGAAACUUCAGGAUAUGCAAGAGCAGGUCCUGCACUCUCCUUCUCCAUUACUGUUUUCUGCAGAAGCGGCGGCUCGUGAUGAGUGGCUCAUCCUUGCAGCAGCAGAGCAAAAUGUUUUCCAGUUGAAGUCCAGAGUUAGAUGGCUGUGCAAGGGUGAUCUCAAUACAAGGUUCUUUCACAAGUCUGUAAAGGCAAACUUAUCGAGGAACAUCAUUCACUUCCUUACUGAUGGAAAUAACACUAGGGUUUAUGGAGUUCAGGAGAUGAAGGAUCUGGCAGUGAGGUUUUAUUCCUUUCUUCAAGGCCGCUCAAAUAUUGCUGUCACUCCGUAUGCAGGGAGCGCCAUUGCUUUAAUUCAUCCCUAUCGAUGCAGUGAAAGCUUGUCCGCUUGUCUAUCAGAGUUGCCUUCAACGGAGGGAAUUACAUCUAUUGUUUUUGCUCUUCCGAAAGGGAAAGCACCGGGACCCGAUGGUUUUUCUGCGGAAUUUUUUACCUCGUCUUGGAAUUUGGUUGGUUUAGACGUGACUAAUGCAGUAAAACAUUUUUUCACAACAAAAAUGAUGUCACGGCAAACAAAUGCUACGGUGAUCUCCCUGAUUCCAAAGAUUAGCGGUGCAUCCUCCUUAUCAGAUUUUAGACCUGUGUCCUUAUGCAACACAGUCUACAAGGUGAUAUCGAAAGUGCUGGCACAUCGUCUUAAGAGGAUAACCAAAGAUGCAGUCCAGCAAAAUCAAGUGGGUUUUGUAUCGGGAAGGGUGCUAAGCGAUAAUGUUCUUCUUGCCUCUGAGCUUGUUGCAGAUUUUCAUAAGCCGGGGAGAAUAUCUAGAGGUUGUCUUCAGGUGGAUAUCACCAAGGCUUAUGAUAGUGUGGAAUGGGAGUUCAUUAUGAAUAUCCUCUCAGCCUUUCAGCUUCCGCCUUUAUUUAUGGAUUGGAUAUGGGCGUGUAUCUCCACUCCAUAUUAUUCAGUCUCUCUUAACGGUGAGCUAGCAGGUUUCUUCCCUGGUGAGAAGGGUUUAAGACAGGGUGAUCCUAUUUCUUCUUCCCUUUUUGUCUUAGCCAUGGAUGUCCUGUCUAAAGAGCUUGAUCUGGCAGCUAGAGAAGGAAGGUUUGGAAUCCACCCAAAGUGUGCCUUUCCGCUUGUCACACAUCUUAGCUUCGCGGAUGAUCUUCUCAUUUUCUUUGACGGAACUGCUGCCUCUCUACGAGGCAUUAUGCAGGUCCUGAGGGAUUUCCAAAGGAAGUCUGGUUUAGCCUUGAAUCUUCGAAAAACAAGUGUGUUUUUGGAUGGAAAUGACCGUGUUGCGGCUCAGUCUGUGGCCACAGACUUCGGAUUGACACAAGGGUCUCUUCCGGUCAAGUAUUUGGGGUUACCUCUGUCUUCUCGGCGCCUUGGACGAAUUGGAUAUCAGCCUCUACUUGAUAAGGUGCGCCAACGAAUUUCUUCUUGGACGGCUAGGCAUCUGUCCUUCGCGGGAAGGCUCCAACUGCUUCAGUCCGUGAUCUAUAGUAUCAUCAAUUUCUGGGCAGCGGUUUUUCCAUUGCCUCAAGGAUGUUUGGAAGAACUGGAGCGAAUGUGCAAUGCUUUUCUUUGGUCUGGAGCUCCAAACUCGGCUAAGGGAGCUAAGGUAUCUUGGGAUUCUGUCUGUACACCCAAGGAGUCGGGAGGCUUGGGACUUAAGAGGCUGGUCGGUUUGAAUGAACUGUAUGGAGUAAAAUUAAUUUGGAAACUCUUUGAGGGCAGUGAUUCGUUGUGGGUGGCCUGGAUAAAAUCUCAUCUUAUGGAAGGCAAGAUGUUUUGGGUUUCAGACUUUGCGAAUAAGGGGAGUUGGAUUUGGAGGAACCUUAUGAAGUUGAGAGAGACUGCUAGACCUUUCAUUUUGUGUAACGUCCUUUCAGGCGAAGAGGCAUCCUUUUGGCAUGAUAACUGGACUCAUAACGGGGACCUUCUCAGUGUAACGGGAACUUUGGGUCCUCAGUAUUCAGGAAUUUCUAUAGACGCCUCAGUGCAUUCAGUGGUGACCGAGUCUGGCUGGAAUGUUUCGCGAAGUAGGAACCCCACUCUUACUGCUCUGAGGGCGGCUUUACCAGCUCAAACCCCUGACAUUGAUUCAGUUGAGGUUGAUUAUUUCGUCUGGCGGAAUAGUGUGUCGGCCCAGCCUUCUAAUUUCUCAACAACAACGCUGUGGAAGACGUUGCACCCGGAUCCUCCGGUUGUAAAUUGGGUUUCAAUCGUCUGGUUCAAGAAUAGGAUUCCCAAGCAUGCUUUUAUUGCAUGGCUGGUAAUGAGAAACAGGAUGUCGACGAGAGAUAAGCUCAGACACUGGGGGCUUCACGUUCCUGCGGAGUGUUUGUUGUGUGGUGCUGCUGACGAAACAACGUCUCACCUAUUUUUUGAGUGUCCCUUCUCGCAGGAGGUCUGGAGUGGAUUAAUGGCAGGAACAGGGCUGGUCCUUUCCUAUAAGCUUGAGGAUAUGGUCGUCUGGUUUCAGAGCAUUUUGGGAGACUCGAAGUUUAAAACCAUUGUCAAGUUCAUCUUUCAAGCAGUUAUUUAUUUUGUAUGGAAAGAGCGUAAUGGACGGCUUCAUUCAAACGGACAGAAGCAACCGAUUUUUGUGAUUAAAGAGAUUCGUUUGCAGAUCAGAGCGAAGCUGUUGGGUCUGGAUAGGGAGAUUGAUUCUUCUAUGAGACCCUUAUAUCCUGAAGCUUCCGCAAUUGCACAGCAAAACAGAGUAUCGUUUUUAUCUAUUUGGUUUGGGAGGUUUCAAGUCUAACCUACUCUUCGGCUUCCAUCAUUUGGGUUGUUUCAAGGUCUGCUUCAUCUGAGUUUCAUGUUCUAAAUUAUCAUUCCUAGUUUCAUCUUUUAAAUUUUUUUGAAAAACUGUUGUAACGGUUUUUCUUUUGGGGAGAAGAAAGAAAAAAAAAAAAAAAAAAAAAAAGAUCGGUUUCACUGUUUAAAUAUCAUAGAAGACAAAAAAUAGCACUACACCAAAGUCGAGGUAAGUUCAUCAAUUAUUUCUGAAAACCAAUAAUAUUUUGAGAUAUUUUUGUCAAAAAGUAUUAUGUCGAUUUCUUAACAAAAAUAAUAAUUCAUUAAGGUUUAAAGCUAUAAAUAAUAAAAAUAUUUAUUUUCAUAUUGUUUAAGUAUUUUAUAUUAAAAUUAAAAUAUCUCGUAAUUCACAUCCCUUUCUUAUUAUUUGAGGAGCACUUUUUAAAAUAAACCUUAGCUUCAUGUGUGAUUAACAACUUUGCCAUUUCCUAGGUGUCAAGACCACAUUUCACUUCACAUUUUUUUUUGUAAUAGCCCUCUUUAGCUUAGAGUAAUUACGUGUCAUGCCAUUGGCACAAACAUAUACUAUAAGUUUUAUUUUAUGGAUCUUUCAUGUAAACAUAAUUAUAUUUAAUGGUUGCAUAAGUUUUCGAAUUAAUUAAGGUUGUAAUUACUCUCGGAUUACGAGUUGCAGUACGGUGCGACUUUCCAUAUAUAAGCUGCAGUACAUAUGACUUUCCAUAAACAUAAUUAUAUAAGUUUAUGUAUGGUUCGUAAUAAUUAUGAUUGCAGGUUAUUGGCACAUACGUUUUCUAAUUACAACCUUAUUUACCAUUUAAGAUACGUAAAUCAAGCACCUCUUAAAAAGUUGAAAUACUUUGCAAAUAAAGGUUGUCAUGUAAAAGUAAUAUUUAAUUGUGAGACUGUAAGAAUACAACAAAGUAUAUGUUCCACCAUGUACCAUGUCAAUAUCAUUAAAUUUGUAACAGAGAUUAUACUAUUUAGACGGCCUUAAAAAAAAUAUUUAGAAGACCUUGAUAUAAGUACCUACAUGACGUGCAAGAAAUAGGUGAGGGCGGUUUUGUUCUUAAAGAUGUAGAUAUAAUAUAAAAUUUAGCUUAUACUCCUUAUUUAAAAUUUUAAUAUUAUGUAAUCAAUAAAACAGUGUCCGAAGGAGAUAUAAUAUAUUUGUUGCUGAAUUUAAAAGAUGCUUUCGACUAUUCGGAUUAAUAUUAGUUUCCAAAUAUAGAGCUCCGUAUUGUCAAUGACGUGAAUUUUUUUUUAUAUCCACGAUCAUGGUAAUAUUCCAACAUUGGAAUGUAUAGAGCUAAAUAUGUCAAUAUUUCAGUAAUAUAUAUAAUCAUUAAUAUAAUUCAAAUUAGUUAAGGAAAGUCGAGUUUGUACUUUAUUUCGACGUAUUUUAAAUUGAGGCUGAUUGAUUAAAUUUUUUAAUAAGUUGACCAGGAUUACAAUUUGUUUCCUAUAAUAGGCAAAUUAAUUCGCAUGGAUGUGUUUUAAGGCAAGUAUUCGAUAUUUUGUGGAUUAGUUUGAAUUCCGAAAUUUAAGAAGAUGAUUAUCUAAGCAAAUCUACCCUAAUCUACCCUAAUUCGUUCGACUAUCCAUAUAAAAAUCAGGCCGCAUACCUUCAUUUUUUCAUCACCGUCUCUUCUCAAAACAUUUUUUUUCAUUUGGAUACAGCUACUACUGUGUUAAAUGCAAGAACCAUAACCCCAAAAAUUAUGUCCGUGGAGCACGGGUGAGGACGGAUUAGUUGAAAAAACCUAUCUUUUCAAGAUUGAAAUUGAAAGGGAGAAUUAUGUUUACAAGCAUGACACAUUCAAGGUCAUGAAAGUAGUUACUAAUCAGAACCUUAUUGAAGAGUUUGGCGAUCUAGGUUCAGCUAAGGUACAUGUGUCAUGACCGCUUUGUAUUUUUUUGACAUCAAUCAAAGUCCAUUCAUGUAAGUGUAGACAUGCUUGGAACCUAUUUUAUUUUAACAUAUUUUGUGUUUCUAUUGGCUAUGUAAGUCAGAAUGCUUAUGGACUAGACAUGUCAGCCUAUCAGAUUCACCAGAUGUUAGAUUUAAAAUAAAAUUUCGAUCUCAAAUAAAAUUUAAUUUUCUAUUUUGUUUUUUUUAUCUUAAUACCUUAACUAAGUUUAUAUAAGUAUUUACUUUAACAGAAUAAACUUUGAUUACAUCAAACCAAUAACACAAGUUUUUAACAGUUUAAAUAAUUAACCUUAUAUAAACAUAAUCAAUUUAAUCCAAUCCGUCAUUGUAUAACAUGUAAUAUACUUUAUAAAUAUCAAUAACUCAAAAUUACAAACUCUUUUAGUUUAUUUACUCCGCGCAGGGCGCAGAUCAUCACCUAGUAUUCAUGUAUUUGUUUUGACAAUAUAAAUGGAAUAAUGCAUCUUGGAUAUUUAACAGCUUGUGAUGUUACACUCACUUUUUUGUCCAAAUAAUUGCCCCAUUCUUAAUUAUUUAUUUUUUUGAUAGUGAGUAUUAUAUAAUACUAUUAUGUUAGUCAAAUUGAAGAACAAAAUACAAAAUUAAGCAAAUAUCUCCCAUAGUUUUUUUUUUUUUGUAAAAUACUUAUAUAGUCACUUGGUUGAUCAUUUUUUAGUGUUGAAAUUAGAUUGGUUUGACUUUCACUAAACACAAUUAGGAGAAGAAAAAAAACUUAAGUGAAACAAGAUCUAAGCCGCCACAAUUGGCUCUUACUUUUCUACAUAGAGACUAACUAUUCAGCCAGCCAAAUGGACCUGCAAGCCGACAAUAUAAUUAAAUGAAAUUAUUAUAAAAAUAAAUUAAAUAAAUAAAAAGGAGGCUAAAUCUAAGCUAUAAGAAGUAGCAUCCAAUAUCCAUAAGCAUCAUCAUCCGCAACACUACAUAGAAGACACAUAAACACACAAACUCUCCUUGUUUCUUCGCUUCUGAUCAGUUUGAUCACCAAGGUACUUUCAAGGAGAAGCAACAAAGAAAGAUAAUUAAAAAUGGGAAUCCUUAACGAAGAAACCUUAAGCUCUAACCCCAAAAGCCAAGUUGUUAUCGAUGAUGAUAAUGAGUUGGGUUUGAUGGCCGUGAGAUUAGCCAAUGCCGCUGCCUUUCCCAUGGUUCUCAAAGCUGCCCUUGAGCUCGGUGUCUUUGACACUCUCUACGCUGCCUCAGUGUUCCUCUCACCUUCCGAGAUAGCAAGUAGGCUACCAACUACGCCUCGUAACCCUGAGGCGCCGGCUUUGUUGGACAGGAUGCUACGUCUACUCGCUAGCUACUCCGUGGUCAAAUGCGGUACGGUCCAAGCCGAAAAGGACCAGAGAGUUUACAAAGCCGAGCCAAUAUGCAGGUUCUUCUUGAAAAAUAACAUUCAAGAUAUUGGAUCCUUAGCUUCUCAAGUCAUUGUCAAUUUGGACAGUGUCUUCCUCAACACUUGGUAAUUUUUUUAUUUAACUGUCGAAAAUUAAAAAAAAAAAUGAAUCUUACGUUGUUGUCUUGUUGACAUGCUAUAUUCGCAGGGCACAAUUGAAAGAUGUGGUGCUAGAAGGAGGAGAUGCAUUUGGCCGUGCACAUGGUGGCAUGAAACUCUUUGACUAUAUGGGUACAGAUGAGAGGUUCAGCAAGCUCUUUAAUCAGACAGGAUUCACCAUCGCUGUCGUGAAGAAGGCUCUUGAAGUUUACCAAGGCUUCAAAGACGUGGAUGUGUUGGUUGAUGUUGGAGGAGGAGUUGGCAACACUCUUGGUGUUGUU